AGCGAACGCUGGCGGCAGGCCUAACACAUGCAAGUCGAACGAACCUUUCGGGGUUAGUGGCGGACGUGUGAGUAACACGUGGGAACGUGCCUUUAGGUUCGGAAUAACUCAGGGAAACUUGUGCUAAUACCGAAUGUGCCCUUCGGGGGAAAGAUUAAUCGCCUUUAGAGCGGCCCGCGUCUGAUUAGCUAGUUGGUUGAGGUAAUGGCUCACCAAGGCGACGAUCAGUAGCUGGUCUGAGAGGAUGAUCAGCCACAUUGGGACUGAGACACGGCCCAAACUCCUACGGGAGGCAGCAGUGGGGAAUCUUGCGCAAUGGGCGAAAGCCUGACGCAGCCAUGCCGCGUGAAUGAUGAAGGUCUUAGGAUUGUAAAAUUCUUUCACCGGGGACGAUAAUGACGGUACCCGGAGAAGAAGCCCCGGCUAACUUCGUG
rnacentral:rRNA from 1 species